AAAAUUUUUAAGCGCGUCAAGAAUUUCACCUCAUCCUUACGCAGGGGCCAUGAUAUUCUUCUGUGUAUUGUUCCAAUUUUAGUAAUUGUCAGGAAUGAAC